GCUGGGGGGAAAGGCUAAGUCCCCAAGAGUGCAUCCAGGUACGGCAACUUCUAGCCACAAAGGGAGCAACGUUCUUAAACAUACCUGGAUACACUCUGCUGGCUACGCACCGAGCAGUCACCACCGAACAGCCACCCCUAAGACAGACUCCCUACAGAAUCCCUGAGGCUGUCAUGGAACACAUGAGACAGGAGAUACAGGAGAUGCUCGGUCUCUGGGUCAUAGAAGCGUCUGAUAGU